rnacentral:rRNA from 1 species
AUGGUAGGAUUCAAGAAAAAGGAAGUGUGGAAAAAAAUGACAAGAAGAUAUUGGAACAUUAAUUUGAAAGAGAUGAUAGAAGCAGGAGUUCAUUUUGGUCAUGGUAUUAAGAAAUGGAAUCCUAAAAUGGCCCCUUACAUUUCGGCAAAGCGUAAAGGUACUCAUAUUAUAAAUCUCGCUAGAACGGCUCGUUUUUUAUCAGAAGCUUGUGAUUUAGUUUUUGAUGCAGCAAGUCAGGGAAAAAGUUUCUUAAUUGUUGGUACCAAAAAAAGAGCAACAGAUUUAGUAGCAUCAGCUGCAAUAAGGGCUCGUUGUCAUUAUGUUAAUAAAAAGUGGUUCAGUGGUAUGUUAACGAAUUGGUCGAUUACGAAAACUAGACUUUCUCAAUUUAGAGACUUAAGAGCAGAAGAAAAAAUGGGAAAAUUCCACCAUCUCCCAAAAAGAGAUGUGGCAAUCUUGAAGAGAAAAUUAUCUACCUUGCAAAGGUAUUUCGGCGGGAUCAAAUAUAUGACGAGAUUGCCAGACAUUGUGAUCGUCCUUGAUCAGCAAAAAGAGUAUAUAGCUCUUCGGGAAUGUGCCAUUUUGGGGAUUCCUACUAUUUCUUUAGUCGAUACAAAUUGUGACCCGGAUCUCGCGAAUAUAUCGAUUCCAGCCAACGAUGACACUAUGACUUCAAUUCGAUUGAUUCUUAACAAAUUAGUAUUUUCAAUUUGUGAGGGCCGUUCUCUCUAUAUAAGAAAUCGUUGA